rnacentral:rRNA from 1 species
AUGAAGAUACCUCUUAAGAAUAAAAUCUUUGCAUGGUAUUUUCGUCGCGGAGUCAUUCUUAUUAAAGAUAACCUUAUUAAGAGGAAUUGGCAUGGAAGUCCGCAAUGUAUCUUUUGUCACCAUGACGAGACAAUAAAACAUUUAUUCUUCCAAUGCAAAUUGGCUCGUUCUGUAUGGUCAGUCAUCCAAGUAGCCUCUGGCUUGUAUCCUCCUUGUAGUGUUGCUAAUGUAUUUGGCAACUGGUUACAUGAGAUUGGUCACAAGUUUAGAACUUUUCUCAGGGUGGGAGCGCUUGCCGUUAUUUGGUCGCUUUGGCUAUGUAGAAAUUAUAAGGUUUUUAACGAUAAAAGUACUUCUCUGAUGCAGAUUAUCUACAGAUGUACCGGGACUCUUUAUUUAUGGUCCUCUCUACAACGCGUGGAGAAUCAAGACAUGUUUACGGUGGUGUGUACACGAUUGAAGGCUACGGCGAGGGAUACUUUUACCCAACAUGAGUGGCAGCAUAAUCUUAGGAUUGGCCCCCCUCCGUUUUAG